GAAAUGCGAUAAGUAGUGUGAAUUGCAGAAUUCAGUGAAUCAUCGAAUCUUUGAACGCACAUUGCGCCCUUUGGUAUUCCUUAGGGCAUGCCUGUUCGAGCGUCAUCUAAACCUUCAAGCCCUGCUUGGUGUUGGGUGCCUGUCCCGCCUCCGCGCGCGGACUCACCUCAAAUCCAUGGCGGCCCCCGCGUCGGGCACGAGCGCAGCAGAAACGCGAACUCGUGAGCCCGUCCGGGCGGCUCCCAGAAGCUACACCCACCCAGUUUGACCUCGGAUCAGGUAGGGAUACCCGCUGAACUUAAGC
rnacentral:misc_RNA from 1 species